AAAAACACUACCUAUGAAAAAGCCGCAUCAGCACAUCAAUUUGUUUUGUUUUGUGAGUUUACCUUAUGCCACGUGGUUUAUGAGAUGAUGAUUGUCAUUCGACAUUUUCAUUGUAAGGACGCUUCAUCUUCCUUCAAUUCUUUGUAUCGUUUAAUCUCUUCAUUUACUACCUUCUAAACUAAGUCUCACAAGCGGCACUUCCUCUCCCCUACGAUAUAAAAGUUCAAUCUGAUCAAUCGAUUGUCUUCAUCUUCCUCCCCUGCAAUCUGGCUCUCUCUUUCAUGACAGAAUUUCUUCAAACAAAAACAAUAUGCAAACUCUGAAGUGGUUCGAAACCCUAAUUUUGGAGAUCAUGCGGAUUCAUGGAACCAUAUUUUGCUAAGGAUAUCAAAAAAGAGGAUAGAACUUUACAAUCGUUCAAAGGAGCUUAUAGCUAGAUUUCGAUCGAUCACAGCUCUCAUGUUUAGGAGCCUCUACACACUAAUUAUAAAUACGGCACAUGAGCAGUUUUUGAUAAAGACAAGGGAGUACGUAGUGGACUGUACAUAGUAAUCAAUAAAGCUCUCCAAAUCUAAUACUUGCUUCGACCAUUUGCAUAGGACAGCAAAGGUCCAAUCCUCCUUCUGUACUGAGACGACGCCGAGAAUCCAUCCAAGUGAGCUUGGCUACAUAAUCUAUAGGCAGGUUUUACGCUAUUAUUUAGGGGAGGAAGAUGGAUUAGGCGAGGCUUUGAUUCACUUCUUUUUAUCUAUGAUUCGUGCUUAUUUUUUUU